CCGUUCUGGUCGGGGGGACUCUAGAGAUUAGAGUUUGAUCCUGGCUCAGAUUGAACGCUGGCGGCAGGCUUAACACAUGCAAGUCGAGCGGUAACAGGGGGUGCUUGCACCCCGCUGACGAGCGGCGGACGGGUGAGUAAUGCUUAGGAAUCUGCCCAGUAGUGGGGGAUAGCCCGGGGAAACCCGGAUUAAUACCGCAUACGUCCUACGGGAGAAAGCAGGGGAUCUUCGGACCUUGCGCUAUUGGAUGAGCCUAAGUCGGAUUAGCUAGUUGGUGGGGUAAAGGCCUACCAAGGCGACGAUCCGUAGCUGGUCUGAGAGGAUGAUCAGCCACAUCGGGACUGAGACACGGCCCGAACUCCUACGGGAGGCAGCAGUGGGGAAUAUUGGACAAUGGGGGCAACCCUGAUCCAGCCAUGCCGCGUGUGUGAAGAAGGCUUUCGGGUUGUAAAGCACUUUCAGCGAGGAGGAAGGCCUUAAAGUUAAUACCUUUGAGGAUUGACGUUACUCGCAGAAGAAGCACCGGCUAACUCCGUGCCAGCAGCCGCGGUAAUACGGAGGGUGCAAGCGUUAAUCGGAAUUACUGGGCGUAAAGCGCGCGUAGGUGGUUAGGUAAGCGAGAUGUGAAAGCCCCGGGCUUAACCUGGGAACGGCAUUUCGAACUGUCUGACUAGAGUGUGGUAGAGGGUAGUGGAAUUUCCUGUGUAGCGGUGAAAUGCGUAGAUAUAGGAAGGAACACCAGUGGCGAAGGCGGCUACCUGGACCAACACUGACACUGAGGUGCGAAAGCGUGGGGAGCAAACAGGAUUAGAUACCCUGGUAGUCCACGCCGUAAACGAUGUCAACUAGCCGUUGGGACUCUUGAAGUCUUAGUGGCGCAGCUAACGCACUAAGUUGACCGCCUGGGGAGUACGGCCGCAAGGUUAAAACUCAAAUGAAUUGACGGGGGCCCGCACAAGCGGUGGAGCAUGUGGUUUAAUUCGACGCAACGCGAAGAACCUUACCUGGCCUUGACAUCCAGAGAACUUUCCAGAGAUGGACUGGUGCCUUCGGGAACUCUGAGACAGUGCUGCAUGUCGUCGUCAGCUCGUGUCGUGAGAUGUUGGGUAGUCCGUAACGAGCGCAACCCCUAUCCUGCUGCUAGCAGUAUGCUGAGAACUCAUGGGACUGCGGUGACAACGGAGGAAUGUGGUAUGACGUCAGGUCAUCAUGUCUAACCGUUCAGGGCUUACACCACGUGUCUCUACCAAUUGG
rnacentral:rRNA from 1 species